rnacentral:rRNA from 1 species
ACGAACGCUGGCGGCGUGCCUAAUGCAUGCCAGUCGCACGCGGCACCUUCGGGUGCUGAGUGGCGAACGGCUGAGGAACACGUGGGGACCUGUCCGGGAGUGGGGGACAACACCGCGAAAGCGGUGCUAAUCCCGCAUACGCUCUGAGGAGGAAAGCCGAAAGGCGCUCCCGGGUGGCCCUGCGGCCCAUCAGGUUGUUGGUGGGGUAACGGCCUACCAAGCCAAUGACGGGUCGCUGGUCUGUGAGGACGACCAGCCAGACUGGGACUGGGACACGGCCCAGACUCCUACGGGAGGCAGCAGCAAGGAAUUUUCGGCAAUGGGCGCAAGCCUGACCGAGCAACGCCGCGUGCAGGAAGACGGCCUUCGGGUUGUAAACUGCUUUUGCUAGGGAUGAUAACAGACAGUACCUGGCGAAUCAGCCCCGGCUAACUCUGUG